GGCCAAAGCCCGGGCACAUGAUAUGCCCGAGGGAAUGCCGUCGCAGCGAUCGUGGUCAGCAGCGCGCGCCUUUCGGCGUGCUUCGGCACCUGCGCGCUCCUGGCAUCGGCCUGUGGGCUCCCCAUUCGGCCCGUCUUGAAACACGGACCAAGGAGUCUGACAUGUGUGCGAGUCAACGGGCAAGUAAACCCGUAAGGCGCAAGGAAGCUGAUUGGCGGGAUCCUUCUGGGUGCACCGCCGACCGACCUUGAUCUUCUGAGAAGGGUUCGAGUGAGAGCACGCCUGUCGGGACCCGAAAGAUGGUGAACUAUGCCUGAGCGGGGCGAAGCCAGAGGAAACUCUGGUGGAGGCUCGAAGCGAUACUGACGUGCAAAUCGUUCGUCUGACUUGGGUAUAGGGGCGAAAGACUAAUCGAACCGUCUAGUAGCUGGUUCCCUCCGAAGUUUCCCUCAGGAUAGCUGGAGCUUCUACGAGUUCUAUCGGGUAAAGCCAAUGAUUAGAGGCAUCGGGGACGCAACGUCCUCGACCUAUUCUCAAACUUUAAAUAGGUAGGACGGCGCGGCUGCUUUGUUGAGCCGUGCCUCGGAAUCGAGAGCUCCAAGUGGGCCAUUUUUGGUAAGCAGAACUGGCGAUGCGGGAUGAACCGGAAGCCGGGUU
rnacentral:ncRNA from 1 species